rnacentral:tRNA from 1 species
GGAAAUGUAGCUCAGUGGUGGAGUGCAUGCCUAGCAGGCAUGAGGUCCUGGGCCUGAUUCCCAGCACCGCCA